rnacentral:misc_RNA from 1 species
UGCUCCAACGUGUUGAGAAAUGG